rnacentral:rRNA from 1 species
GGAAUAUUGCACAAUGGGGGGAACCCUGAUGCAGCGACGCCGCGUGGGUGAAGGAGCACCUCGGUGCGUAAAGCCCUAUCGGCAGGGAAGAAACAGACGGUACCUGACUAAGAAGCCCCGGCUAACUACGUGCCAGCAGCCGCGGUAAUACGUAGGGGGCAAGCGUUAUCCGGAUUUACUGGGUGUAAAGGGAGCGUAGACGGCAGUGCAAGUCUGAAGUGAAAGGCAAGGGCUCAACCCUUGGACUGCUUUGGAAACUGUGCUGCUGGAGUGUCGGAGAGGCAAGUGGAAUUCCUAGUGUAGCGGUGAAAUGCGUAGAUAUUAGGAGGAACACCAGUGGCGAAGGCGGCUUGCUGGACGAUGACUGACGUUGAGGCUCGAAAGCGUGGGGAGCAAACAGG